rnacentral:lncRNA from 1 species
CUUAGGAAUCCACGGUUGUAUACUUAGGUACUGCUCACUGGAGGGUUACUUCCUGGAUUCCAGCAGUUGAAGGGGAGAGUAUGGUGCCUGGAAUUGAGAAAACACAGAAAUUCAGAUGGAGGCCACGAAAGGGUAUGAGAUGGGACAUGGGCAUGUCUAUUGUAUCCCACCUAAAAGCUUCCUCAGUGUGGACGGGUCAUCAAAGGAGGUGCCUAUGGGAACCCUCUGACCUGCAGACGCUUUGCCGCUGAGCUAAAUCCCCAGCCCCUCUUGUUUAGAAUCUUCUCAGACCUGAAAGAUGAAGCUGUUCUCUUAUUUCCUGGUGCAUAUUCUAUGGCUCGUCCUACCGUAUUGUUGAUGGGAAGGGAACCAAGAGAUGGAGAGAAGGGGAGGAAAGAGAAUCAAGAUGUGCUCCAUCCACCCACAGCUCCUUAUGAUGAGUGCAACCAUUACGUACGGCAAACGUGCUAAUGACAAUUUUUAAUAAAAAAGUAAACCAAAAC